CGUAGGGUGCGAGCGUUAAUCGGAAUUACUGGGCGUAAAGCGUGCGCAGGCGGUUUAGUAAGACAGGCGUGAAAUCCCCGGGCUCAACCUGGGAACUGCGCUUGUGACUGCUAAGCUAGAGUACGGCAGAGGGGGGUGGAAUUCCACGUGUAGCAGUGAAAUGCGUAGAGAUGUGGAGGAACACCAAUGGCGAAGGCAGCCCCCUGGGUCGAUACUGACGCUCAUGCACGAAAGCGUGGGUAGCAAACAGGAUUAGAUACCCUGGUAGUCCACGCCCUAAACGAUGUCAACUAGGUGUUGGGAGGGUAAAACCUUUUAGUACCGGAGCUAACGCGUGAAGUUGACCGCCUGGGGAGUACGGCCGCAAGGUU
rnacentral:rRNA from 1 species